rfam:Streptomyces niveus NCIMB 11891 chromosome, whole genome shotgun sequence.
CUUGAUCGAACCCAGCCACAACGGCCGCCCCUCCGGGCGAUCCUGACCAUAGGUCUCCAACAGGGCCUGCGCCUC